GACGAACGCUGGCGGCGUGCUUAACACAUGCAAGUCGAACGGAAAGGCCCUGCUCUUGUGGGGUGCUCGAGUGGCGAACGGGUGAGUAACACGUGAGUAACCUGCCCUUGACUUUGGGAUAACUUCAGGAAACUGGGGCUAAUACCGGAUAGGAGCUCCUGCUGCAUGGUGGGGGUUGGAAAGUUUCGGCGGUUGGGGAUGGACUCGCGGCUUAUCAGCUUGUUGGUGGGGUAGUGGCUUACCAAGGCUUUGACGGGUAGCCGGUCUGAGAGGGUGACCGGGCACAUGGGGACUGAGAUACGGCCCAGACUCCUACGGGAGGCAGCAGUGGGGAGUAUUGCACAAUGGGCGGAAGCCUGAUGCAGCAGCGCCGCGUGCGGGAUGACGGCCUUCGGGUUGUAAACCGCUUUCGCCUGUGACGAAGCGUGAGUGACGGUAAUGGGUAAAGAAGCACCGGCUAACUACGUG
rnacentral:rRNA from 1 species